ACAGCACAGGAGAGACGCUGUUUGUGAUGUCUGCUGCUCCCCGACAACUCUUCAAAUGCAAUUUCCUUUGGAAUGCCGGGGCGCCUUGAGCCGCCCCGUCUCCCAGGCUGCAGGCGACAGCGUCCGCUCAACGUGUAUGGCUUGAACGACGACGCGGGAUGCAGUGGGACCGUGUGGACUGGGGACACGCACUGGCUGCAGCUCUGGUCUUCCCCAACCGAAUCCCAGACCGUGGCUGACUCCUUAGAGAAGCCGCAUGCACACAGCGACAGAGAGCACGGCCCCUGGUGCCAGACCGCGGGGGUUCAAAUCCCGGCUCUGCAUUUCAUUAGCUGUUGAUCUUAGGCAAGUCCGUGUGAACUCAGGCCACUUUUGAGCCUGCUUUCCUCAGGGGUAGUAUGGUUGAUGAUCACAAUGGUCUCUACCUUCCAGAGUUGUGAGGAGGACACACACGGAUACAGGCCAAGUGCAUGGAAUGUUGCCCGGCACCCAGUGAGUGCUUGAUAAAUGUUACUAUUAUCGUCGACCUUG